AUGGUAGUAGGGCAACCCACUCCAGAAGUUGUCAGGAGUUUUGUUCCGGACAAAUCUAGGUGGAGCAAGCACUGAGUUUGUCCCAGCAUGAACAGGUAUCAAUAUAUACACCUGGUGAAGGGUUGCUGAUGACUACAUUGAUGUGGUCUUGUACUUGUAUAUAGUUAAUGUUGAACUUGUAUAAAAUGUUUAAAAUAUAUUUGAUUAUGCUUCUGACGGCUCCAAAACACUCUUGGCAUGAGUGAUGAGGAGGAGGUGGCAUACACUGAUGGCAUUGCAUUAACGAGAAAGGACUUCAUUACACUUGCUAAUCCUGUAGAAGUUGACGGAAAUUUAAGAAUAUCAUGACAUACUAACAGUUUAACAGUGAAGUACAGUGCUUUGUGGUAUAGUGUCCCUUUUUUCCAAUAGGUGCUGAAUUUUGGGUUUCCAGCUUCUACAAAGAAUAGCUAGUCAACAGAACAUUGACAUCUUUGCUGCUGAUUGCCAUGUGACUCUCACCUGGUUGCCCCCAUAUUCAGCAGACCCCAUGGAUCACCUCCCUGUUGAUGUGAAAAUGCAGGACGCUGUGCUCCUUCCAUCAUGGAAACCAGGUCAUUGGAUGAUAUGUGUGAGUUUGUAUUAAAUUAGUGCUUAGUGUUUCCCAUUUAUGAGAUGGAUAUCAGUUAUGUUUUGUACAUGUUUCUUCAUGUUCCAUCAUUCGGGGGUGCAUCAUUUCAGAUCUUGAAGCCCAAACCGAAACAAAUAUUUUUCCUCAACUCAAUGGGAGGCCCUGGCAUUGGUGAUGCCGCUUACACAGCUAAAUACAGGUUAUUUGUAGGGAAUGUUCUUGCGUGAAAGGUUCACUUUUACUUGCCAGUUCAUUUGGUUCUAUAUACCAUAUGCCAUGCUGUCUUCAUCCUAAAAUGCCCCCCCACCCAGUGUUUGUCAUGACUUGUGACAUGAAAGGAAUUCUGCAUCAGAGAAUCAUAAUUUUCCACCUGCUGAAAUGGAAACACCCAAGCAAGUGCUCAUGGCAUAUGGUAGUUAAUAUGGUUCCAUAAUCAUUACUCUGUCAUUUCUUUUUUUUCUUUGGAUCUUUUCUCUAUGGGGUAGUUCCUGUUCAAAACCCCAAGUUACAUUUCCCAGCAGUUAUCAAAUCUGAAGGACCUGCAUUGUAGUACAGUGCACAUCUGUGAUUAUAAUACUCCGUUUUUCUCCAUUAUCCAUUUUUUUUUUCAGAGAACUUUCUCAGGAGAUAAGUGAGUGUCUGGACAG